rnacentral:rRNA from 1 species
AGUGAACGCUGGCGGUAGGCCUAACACAUGCAAGUCGAACGGCAGCACAGUAAGAGCUUGCUCUUACGGGUGGCGAGUGGCGGACGGGUGAGGAAUACAUCGGAAUCUACUUUUUCGUGGGGGAUAACGUAGGGAAACUUACGCUAAUACCGCAUACGACCUACGGGUGAAAGCAGGGGAUCUUCGGACCUUGCGCGAUUGAAUGAGCCGAUGUCGGAUUAGCUAGUUAGCGGGGUAAAGGCCCACCAAGGCGACGAUCCGUAGCUGGUCUGAGAGGAGGAUCAGCCACACUGGAACUGAGACACGGUCCAGACUCCUACGGGAGGCAGCAGUGGGGAAUAUUGGACAAUGGGCGCAAGCCUGAUCCAGCCAUACCGCGUGGGUGAAGAAGGCCUUCGGGUUGUAAAGCCCUUUUGUUGGGAAAGAAAAGCAGCAGGUUAAUACCCCGCUGUUCUGACGGUACCCAAAGAAUAAGCACCGGCUAACUUCGUG